rnacentral:rRNA from 2 species
CAUGCCGUCGAACGGCAGCACAGAGGAGCUUGCUCCUUGGGUGGCGAGUGGCGGACGGGUGAGGAAUACAUCGGAAUCUACUCUGUCGUGGGGGAUAACGUAGGGAAACUUACGCUAAUACCGCAUACGACCUACGGGUGAAAGCAGGGGACCUUCGGGCCUUGCGCGAUUGAAUGAGCCGAUGUCGGAUUAGCUAGUUGGCGGGGUAAAGGCCCACCAAGGCGACGAUCCGUAGCUGGUCUGAGAGGAUGAUCAGCCACACUGGAACUGAGACACGGUCCAGACUCCUACGGGAGGCAGCAGUGGGGAAUAUUGGACAAUGGGCGCAAGCCUGAUCCAGCCAUACCGCGUGGGUGAAGAAGGCCUUCGGGUUGUAAAGCCCUUUUGUUGGGAAAGAAAUCCAGCUGGCUAAUACCCGGUUGGGAUGACGGUACCCAAAGAAUAAGCACCGGCUAACUUCGUGCCAGCAGCCGCGGUAAUACGAAGGGUGCAAGCGUUACUCGGAAUUACUGGGCGUAAAGCGUGCGUAGGUGGUCGUUUAAGUCCGUUGUGAAAGCCCUGGGCUCAACCUGGGAACUGCAGUGGAUACUGGGCGACUAGAGUGUGGUAGAGGGUAGCGGAAUUCCUGGUGUAGCAGUGAAAUGCGUAGAGAUCAGGAGGAACAUCCAUGGCGAAGGCAGCUACCUGGACCACCACUGACACUGAGGCACGAAAGCGUGGGG